AUACGGAGGGGGCAAGCGGUGUUCGGAAUUACUGGGCGUAAAGCGCGCGUAGGCGGAUUGGUCAGUUGGGGGUGAAAUCCCGAGGCUUAACCUCGGAACUGCCUUCAAAACUGCCAGUCUUGAGUCCGGGAGAGGUGAGUGGAAUUCCUAGUGUAGAGGUGAAAUUCGUAGAUAUUGGGAGGAACACCAGAGGCGAAGGCGGCUAUCUGGGCCUUAACUGACGCUGAGGCGCGAAAGUGUGGGGAGCAAACAGGAUUAGAUACCCCGGUAGUCC
rnacentral:rRNA from 1 species